GACGAACGCUGGCGGCGUGCUUAACACAUGCAAGUCGAACGGAAAGGCCCUGCUUUUGUGGGGUGCUCGAGUGGCGAACGGGUGAGUAACACGUGAGUAACCUGCCCUUGACUUUGGGAUAACUUCAGGAAACUGGGUCUAAUACCGGAUAGGAGCUCCUGCUGCAUGGUGGGGGUUGGAAAGUUUCGGCGGUUGGGGAUGGACUCGCGGCUUAUCAGCUUGUUGGUGGGGGAGUGGCUUACCAAGGCUUUGACGGGUAGCCGGCCUGAGAGGGUGACCGGCCACAUUGGGACUGAGAUACGGACCAGACUCCUACGGGAGGCAGCAGUGGGGAAUAUUGCACAAUGGGCGGAAGCCUGAUGCAGCAACGCCGCGUGCGGGAUGACGGCCUUCGGGUUGUAAACCGCUUUCGCCUGUGACGAAGCGUGAGUGACGGUAAUGGGUAAAGAAGCACCGGCUAACUACGUG
rnacentral:rRNA from 1 species